rnacentral:rRNA from 1 species
GAUGAACGCUGGCGGCGUGCCUAAUACAUGCAAGUCGAGCGAACAGACGAGGAGCUUGCUCCUCUGACGUUAGCGGCGGACGGGUGAGUAACACGUGGAUAACCUACCUAUAAGACUGGGAUAACUUCGGGAAACCGGAGCUAAUACCGGAUAAUAUAUUGAACCGCAUGGUUCAAUAGUGAAAGACGGUUUUGCUGUCACUUAUAGAUGGAUCCGCGCCGCAUUAGCUAGUUGGUAAGGUAACGGCUUACCAAGGCAACGAUGCGUAGCCGACCUGAGAGGGUGAUCGGCCACACUGGAACUGAGACACGGUCCAGACUCCUACGCGAGGCAGCAGUAGGGAAUCUUCCGCAAAGGGCGAAAGCCUGACGGAGCAACGCCGCGUGAGUGAUGAAGGUCUUCGGAUCGUAAAACUCUGUUAUUAGGGAAGAACAAAUGUGUAAGUAACUAUGCACGUCUUGACGGUACCUAAUCAGAAAGCCACGGCUAACUACGUG